rnacentral:rRNA from 1 species
AUUGAACGCUGGCGGCAGGCCUAACACAUGCAAGUCGAGCGAGCGGCGGACGGGUGAGUAAUGUCUGGGAAACUGCCUGAUGGAGGGGGAUAACUACUGGAAACGGUAGCUAAUACCGCAUACCAUCAGAUGUGCCCAGAUGGGAUUAGCUAGUAGGUGGGGUAAUGGCUCACCUAGGCAACGAUCCCUAGCUGGUCUGAGAGGAUGACCAGCCACACUGGAAUGGAGACCGGGUCCAGACCCCGACGGGAGGAAGCGGUGGGGAAUAUUGCACAUGGGCGCAAGCCUGAUGCAGCCAUGCCGCGUGUAUGAAGAAGGCCUUCGGGUUGUAAAGUACUUUCAGCGAGGAGGCGUUACUCGCAGAAGAAGCACCGGCUAACUCCGUGCCAGCAGCCGCGGUAAUAC